UAUUCAAUUAACAAGACGUCUCCCAUAAUAAUUUCUACCUCAAUUAGCUCAAAAUUCGUUGAGAAGUAUAAAUUACCUAAAUUUCAGUGAUUGGCACUUGAAUGACAAUAAUUGACACCCGUAGCGUAUAGUGAUUGGCACACUUUUUUUGUGUAAAAAAAAAUAAAUUUUUGUUUGUAUCUACCUACCUAGAGGAGUAGUAAGGCAGACAUUGGGAAGUUUACAAGUUCUGCAUGUGAAAACAUCGUCAACCAAAAUGUC